AUCUGAGAAGAAAAUACACUUAAAAGGUUGAUAAUUAAUUACAUUAGUAAAAUAGAAGAGACAAGGACAUUGAAUGGAGACAGAUAAAUGAAAAAUACAAAAAGAAAUAAUUAAAUAUAUUUUCAAAUAACGAAGAGGACAGGUAUUUUUAUUUUGCCUUCCUAAAACACAUGAUUUCCGAUGCUACUCCUGAUAGGUUGCUCUCCCUCACAUGACCGGAAGUACUAAAUUCAGCGGUUUAGUGAGUGCUUUUGAAAUAAUUAAAAAAAAAAAACAUGAUAGCCAGAGAAUGGGUUGUUAUUUUAUUUAGCCAUUUAUUUCAGCAUACACAGGUUUAUUCUUAAUACUUGGAAAUACCCGCCGUGCAAGCCCGUUGAAGCAAUGAAGUGGUGAAAUGUAGAUUAUUCGGUCCAAACGGUACCACUUCUGUGAAAAAUGCUUCAAUGAGAUUCAAGUAGAGAGCGUGACAUUGGGUGAUGAUCCGGCACAGCCACAGACGAGGAUAUCAAAAGACCAAUUUGAACGUAGAAGAAUGAUGUACUUGAUCAAGAACCGUUUGUUGAAUGUAAAGAUUGUGGACGAAAGAUGCACCAAAUGUGUUUUACACUACGAUGUCAUUUGGCCAUCUGGGACAAGCAUUUUAAUCUGGAUUAGCAUGAGCGGAAGAAGGCGAAAUACGCUGAGCUUGUUGAGUCCUGCAGGGAGAAUGGGUGGAGGACCCGGCGCAAUACCCACCAACGUCCUGCAGGACCUCCUCCAUACUCUCCACGUGGGGAGGUUCUGCAGUGCCCUGCUCAAUGUUUUGUAAGUUUGUUAUUUUAGUUUGGACUGGAGAUUUCUGGUAGUCCUGUUUUCGUUUUUAUGUAGAUUUUGUAGUUUAGAGGGUGGAUGGCCCUGUAUAGGGUUUGCCCAGUGUUCUCCCUACUUUUGUUUAGUUUGGCCAGGAUCUUCAGUCCCUUUUAGUUUGUUCUGUUGCUACUUUUGAUCACUUUGUUAAUAAAUACUUUUGAUAAUCGUUCUGUGUUUGUCGU
rnacentral:lncRNA from 1 species